GUCUCUAGCUGCAGCCGGCGUUUCAGGUCUCGUCUUCACUGGUCUGUGUCCUAUUCUCCUGGAGGCCCAGCCUCUGUGGCCCUGUGACCUGCAGGUAUUGGGAGAUCCACAGCUAAAACCCCAGGACACCCUGGAAGCAUAGAAAUGGUUCUGUAGCAGAAAUUGCUGGUGUCUGUGGCAGGGGAGGGCACCUGAGGACAGGGAAGAAGAAACAUAUUUUUAUCUUUAUGGAGCAGCACAUUGUUCCCAAAUACCUUCUGCUUUAAGGGACAGAAAUGGAUGGACUUUUUCUGUCUUUUCUGCCAGUUGAUGUCAUGCUUGCAGAGUGAAGAAUAAAGCUCAACUCAGCAAUGUGGAAAGUUUGGAUUAAGAUGAAACAUCUUGAAGAAAUUCUUUUCUAAAUAAACAAAUUCUGAAGAUUUUCUGGAAAAAGGACAUCUGGAACUCUUUUAUGCAAAGGAUAAAUUACUAAAAUCAUUCUGCAAAAAAGAGAAAUAAAACUUUUGGGGUUUUUUAUGAA
rnacentral:lncRNA from 1 species